AUACGUAGGGGGCAAGCGUUGUCCGGAUUUACUGGGUGUAAAGGGCGCGCAGGCGGAAUAUCAAGUCAGAGGUGAAAUCCUACAGCUUAACUGUAGAACUGCCUUUGAUACUGUUAUUCUUGAGUUCGGGAGAGAGAGACGGAAUUCCAGGUGUAGUGGUGAAAUACGUAGAUAUCUGGAAGAACACCAGUUGCGAAGGCAGCCCCCUGGGUCGACACUGACGCUCAUGCACGAAAGCGUGGGGAGC
rnacentral:rRNA from 1 species